rnacentral:rRNA from 1 species
UACGUAGGUGGCAAGCGUUGUCCGGAAUUAUUGGGCGUAAAGCGCGCGCAGGCGGUCCCUUAAGUCUGAUGUGAAAGCCCACGGCUCAACCGUGGAGGGUCAUUGGAAACUGGGGGACUUGAGUGCAGAGGAGGAAAGUGGAAUUCCAUGUGUAGCGGUGAAAUGCGUAGAGAUGUGGAGGAACACCAGUGGCGAAGGCGACUUUCUGGUCUGUAACUGACGCUGAGGCGCGAAAGCGUGGGGAGCAAACAGG